rnacentral:ncRNA from 1 species
UGAAGGACUCCUUUUAUGGAUGAAUUUUAAAAGGGAACGGAGUGAGAAUCUUCGGCGAUCCGGUCACUGUGAUCCAGGAGCGCGCCCCGGGAAAAGCCAUUGCGGCAGGUGUCGUGAGAAGGCGGGAAAUGCGUGAUGAGAGGUAAGCCAGGAAACCUGCUUGACAG